GCUGAGGGAAAGGGGUGGUUGUUAGAAGGGCUGGGGAUUAUCUCAGGACAGGGCUUCAGCAGCAAUAGUUUGGUAAGGAGCUUCUUGAAGAAUGGACCCAGAGGCCUGGCUAGGAGAGUUGAGGGCUAAGACACAAACCAACAAAAGCAGGAAUACUCGGAGUUUUAGGAGAAGGACUCUGACAUGCUGUAUUAGAUAGAAGGCAGUAUCAAUGGGAAUGACCAGCAAAGAUUUAAAGAAAAUUUCAAUGCCUAAGGCUGGGAGAAGAUAGGAUA